AGUUCCAGCAGGUCUAGGAAGCGGGGUUCAGCAAGCCCACGCCGGGCCUCCGAGUCCCCCUCCCCCUGACACCCCUGUCCCGGGGGUGAAGAAUGGGUUGGCGGGUUGUGCUGCGGGGACUCCCAGAGGAUGUGCGAGGCAGAAGAGGGUAGAAAGAGAACAAGCCAUUUUGCUCAUCAUCAACAAACCUUGACCAAGGAAGUGUCUGCGUGUGCAAUGUGCCAUCUGAACCCUGGAGGCAUAAGCAGUAUGGUCACUUGUCCCAGCAUUGUUGGGAAGUGAAAAUGUAUCCAUGGAAAGAGAGCAGAAAGAUAAGACUACGCCCCGGGGAUAAUGAAAAAGAGAGGACUUGACCGCUGAGGGAUGGAGUUCCAAGGAAGUCAGUCCUUGAUGGGGCCAAGCAGCAGGGGAAGACGGGCGCUAUCAGGCUGGGGACAGAGCCCAAGCCAAGACCCAGGUGUAUGAAUGGACAGGACCUGAGAUGACCCGGUGGGUCAAACUGUCUGACUGUAGAAGAGGAGCUGGGCAGAGAGCAGAGGUCCAGGGACAGGCCAAGGUUUGGAAUGCCAAGGUUUGGAAUUUAGGCUUGGCCCUGUGGGUAAUGGAGAGCUAUCAGUGGGUUUCAAGCAAAAGGGAGAUACCAAGUGCUGUGGCCAGCCAUGUUUCAGGAAGAUUGUUCUUGUCCACCUUUGUUUAUGUCAACCACAUUUAGAAGUAACAAAUGUCUGAUAGGGGGUCAGGUGCGGUGGCUUGUGCCUAUAGUGCCAGCUACUCAGGAGGCUGAGGCAGGAGGAUCGCUCAAGCCCAGGGAUUCAAGGAUGCUGUGAGCUACGAUCACGUCACUGCACUCCAGCCUGGGAAACAGGGUGAGACCCAGUUUCUAAAACAAACGAACAAACAAAUGUCUGAUGGGGAUGCAUCCUCCCAAUAGAAUACUAUUCAACCAUGGAUAAUGUGGGAAUAGAAUAUCUCUGUUGAUGUGAAAAGUUGUCCAAGACAGUUGAGUCAAAAAUAUCAGUAAGCAUAGUAAGAUCUUAUUUUUGUUUUAAAAAUCAUAUGCAUAAGUCCAGGCACGGUGGCUCACGCCUGUAAUCCCAGCAGUUUGGGAGGCCAAGGCAGGCAGAUCACUUGAGGUCAGGAGUUCGGGACCAGCCUGGCCAACAUGGUGAAACCCUGUCUCUACUAAAAAUACAAAAAUUAGCCGGGAGUGGUGGCGGGUGCCUGCAAUCCCAGACACUCAGGAGGCUGAGGCAGGAGAAUCGCUUGAACCUGGGAGGUGGAGGUUGCAGUGAGCCGAGAUCAUGCCACUGCACUUCAGCCUGGGCAACAGAGACUCCAUCUAAAAAAAAAAAAAAUUCAUAUGCAUAUACAUGUGUGUAUGUACAUGUGUGUGUGUGUGAAUACACAUACACACACACACACAGAUCCAACUGUGGAGCAGCUGUCAGAGUUGGCCGACCCGCAGCCUCCCCUAGAGUCUUCUGCAGAGGGUUCCUGCCCUCACCUACAGCCCCUCCACCUGAGGACACCUGGCCACAGGUAAGACAGGCCAGAAGGUGGCACAGGAGCAGCCCACAAGCAAUAAUGGAUGGGAGUUGAUAGCUAAACUCGCAGCCUCCUGGUCUCAGUGCGACAACUCUGAGGUGUCUCCCACAGAGCCUCUCAGUGAUGCCUGUGGGCUUGUGCCCAGGUGGCCCACAGUGACCUGCUCAGAAACACACACUUUACUGCCUUUUCUCCUCUCCCUGUCCCUUCUCCACUCUCUCGUAGUGCUCAUUUGGAUCUCCUUCCAAAGAAACGACUGCUCCCCAAGCCUGUGUCAGGGUCUGCUUUUGGGGGAUCCCAACGAAGACAUCAGCCUCCUACUCGCUCCACAUCUGCCUCCAGGCUACUGAAAACUCCUGGAAAAGGGACUUAAGUAGCUCUAUGAUACAUCUGCAUUCAGAGAUGUGAAAUACUGAAAUAGACAUUGAAGAAAAUGAGUUUGGGUGUAC
ensembl:lncRNA PRR29-AS1 PRR29 antisense RNA 1